UGAAUUUUUGCCUGCCUUCCACCAACAGUCCCAAACUCAGAACAGCCCAAAGACCCACAGAGAUGGUAUGAGAAUGGACAUGUCAUAUGGGUAACAUGUGAAAAAGGCUACGAACACAAGGACCGCAAGACAACUGCCAAAUGUGAAAACGGAUCCUGGUCGACUUUGCCAGUUUGUGAGAGAGAUCCAGAGUCGUGUGGUGCCCCCCCUCAGGUCCCUCAUGCUAUCAUCGUCGGUCAUGAUUACCAAAAGGUGUAUCCCGUUGAUUCACAUGUGACGUACCAAUGUGAAGACGGAUUCACUUCAA